UCUGGACUCUGAAUCCAGCGAUCC
rnacentral:piRNA from 4 species